AUACGGAGGGUACAAGCGUUACUCGGAAUCACUGGGCGUAAAGCGCGCGCAGGCGGUCUUUUAAGUUGGAUGUGAAAGCCUACGGCUCAACCGUAGAACUGCAUCCAAAACUAUUAGACUAGAGUGUGCGAGAGGAAGAUGGAAUUAGUUGUGUAGGGGUAAAAUCCGUAGAGAUAACUAGGAAUACCAAAAGCGAAGGCAAUCUUCUGGAACAGUACUGACGCUGAGGCGCGAAAGCGUGGGGAGCAAACAGAAUUAGAAACCCUAGUAGUCC
rnacentral:rRNA from 1 species